rnacentral:snoRNA from 1 species
AAGACUAUACUAUUCAGGUUCGAUUUUCCUAUGACGUGCCAUUAUAAGUAUAGUUUCGACACUUGAGAAAUGUGUGUCUAAAGUGGUAGAUCUCGCUAUCCAUGAUGACGAUUCAAGAUAUUCCCAUUCAGAGCAUGAAUCUGGUGGUUAGAAAUGACUUUGCUCAUUUUUCUUCCACCUUUGAUGACUGUUCCUUGUUCUUCAAUGAACGUGGAUGAAGGGAAUAUGUUCUGAGUGGA